UGCCAGCCGCCGCGGUAAUACGUAGGGAGCGAGCGUUAUCCGGAAUUAUUGGGCGUAAAGCGUACGUAGGCGGUUUGUUAAGUCAAAUCUGAAAGCCCCCAGCUUAACUGGGGAGGGUGAUUUGAAACUGGCAGACUUGAGUAUGGCAGAGGUAAGUGGAAUUUCAUGUGUAGCGGUGGAAUGCGUAGAUAUAUGAAGGAACACCAGUGGCGAAGGCGGCUUACUGGACCAGAACUGACGCUGAUGUACGAAAGCGUGGGGAGCAAACAGGAUUAGAUA
rnacentral:rRNA from 1 species